rnacentral:tRNA from 1 species
GAGUGGCUGGCGGAGGAGACAGGGCGCUUUCUGGAGGCGCAGGCAGAAUGGCAGCGGAAGUAUGGCGGAAGUUCUGUGGCUGCCGCCAUCCG